rnacentral:rRNA from 1 species
CGCUAGCGAAGAGGUCACACCCGUUCCCAUACCGAACACGGAAGUUAAGCUCUUCAGCGCCGAUGGUAGUCGGGGGUUUCCCCCUGUGAGAGUAGGACGCCGCCAAGC